rnacentral:tRNA from 1 species
GGUUAAUGGGGACGGACUGUAAAUCCGCUGGCAAUGCCUACGCUGGUUCAAAUCCAGCUCGGCCCAA